rnacentral:rRNA from 1 species
AGAGUUUGAUCAUGGCUCAGAUUGAACGCUGGCGGCAUGCCUAGCACAUGCAAGUCGAACGGCAGCACAGCAGAGCUUGCUCUGUGGGUGGCGAGUGGCGGACGGGUGAGUAAUGCAUCGGGACCUACCUGAACGUGGGGGAUAACGUAGGGAAACUUACGCUAAUACCGCAUACGUCCUACGGGAGAAAGCGGGGGACCCUCGGGCCUCGCGCGGUCAGACGGACCGAUGUUCGAUUAGCUAGUUGGUAAGGUAAUGGCUUACCAAGGCGACGAUCGAUAGCUGGUCUGAGAGGAUGAUCAGCCACACUGGAACUGAGACACGGUCCAGACUCCUACGGGAGGCAGCAGUGGGGAAUAUUGGACAAUGGGCGCAAGCCUGAUCCAGCAAUGCCACGUGUGUGAAGAAGGCCUUCGGGUUGUAAAGCACUUUUAUCAGGAACGAAAUACCAUUGGUUAAUACCCGGUGGGGCUGACGGUACCUGAGGAAUAAGCACCGGCUAACUUCGUGCCAGCAGCCGCGGUAAUACGAAGGGUGCAAGCGUUAAUCGGAAUUACUGGGCGUAAAGGGUGCGUAGGCGGUUUGUUAAGUCUGUUGUGAAAUCCCCGGGCCCAACCUGGGAAUGGCAAUGGAUACUGGCAAGCUAGAGUGUGUCAGAGGAUGGCGGA